rnacentral:lncRNA from 1 species
CGCGCGCAAGGCCCAGACGCCGCCGCGCGCAGCCACUGGCAACCGCGCCAUGGCAACCGGACGCCCGGGAGGAAUCUUAAAGCCGCAGCGCCUCCUUUCCCGUCGCCGCCCGUUCCCCAGGGGAAGGCGUCCUAUAGAGGAAGGUUCAGAGCGGGAGUCAGGACUUGGGGUCUGACUCGCACCCUCGUUCGUGUUUAUCGGAUGCGUAUCGGGCCUGCGAGGCCAAGCGCGGGCCAGACGCCGGGGAGGGGAACGGGCAGUGAUUAAAACAUGAACAAGAUCCUGCCAAGAAGAGUUCACAGUCUAGCGCGCAAGGCAGACCAGGCUGGCGAGUGAGGAUGGGGAGCUGAUGGCCUGGUUCCUCCUGACUUCUCCAUGAAUGGUUCCAGGGACUUCUAUUUUCCCAGCUCCUCGGAGGACAUGAUGAGGGUGCUUCAGCCCCUUUGGCCUCUGUCCAAGGUACCCAGGCCCCUGGGACUACAGUCAGGGGCAUGAAUGGUUUUCCUGACCCACCUGGUGUGACCUCCAGCGCAGCCUCCUGUCACCCCGAUCCAGAGAGGAUGGAGAAGGCGCAUCUGCCCACCUGGCCUGUGAAUGGGGAGGGCAUUAGUGCUUUCAAACACCUGUGGUUCUGCACCAUUCCCAGCCUGCCCAGGCCUUUCAGCCAGCCCCAGCCCCUUGCUGCUCCUCUCUGGUCCCAGGUACCUGCUCUAGGGUGGACAGCACCGAGAGGGCCAGCCCCCUGCAUCCCUUGGAAUCCACAACAGACACACAGAGAUGAGAGAGCCAGAGUGAGGAGUGUGAGAGAUCCCAGCCUAUGCUGUUCUGGGAGAGGGAGCCGGCUGCCUGCACACAGAACGGGAUUGCCAGCCAGGAGAACUGGUACUUGGGCACAGCUCACUGGCAUGAAGGGGGAGCAGGAGAGGGUGGGGUACGGCGGCUGUUUUGGGAGGCAUGUCCCCAGCCCCCUGCAUCCCUUGGAAUCCACAACAGACACACAGAGAUGAGAGAGCCAGAGUGAGGAGUGUGAGAGAUCCCAGCCUAUGCUGUUCUGGGAGAGGGAGCCGGCUGCCUGCACACAGAACGGGAUUGCCAGCCAGGAGAACUGGUACUUGGGCACAGCUCACUGGCAUGAAGGGGGAGCAGGAGAGGGUGGGGUACGGCGGCUGUUUUGGGCAGGCAUGUCCUCGGGCUUCCUCCUCGGCCCUCCCCUUGGGUGCUGAUGGGCACCACACACUGCCACCUCCCCUCCCCCUCACUCCUGCCUUUCCCAGCACUGGGAACCUGCAUGUGUCCUCCAGGUAUCCGAGGGACAGGCUCGAGUUUCUGCAGUUCUCCCAAGCACAGGAAAGGGAGGGAGAGGCUGGGUCCCACAGAAAAGAAGCUGUGCCAAGUCAGUGCCAGGCACCUUGACCCGUUCCUUUCCUUUCCUCCAGAAGGCAGGGAAUUCUGGAUGCUGCCUCCUCUGCCUUCCAUGCAGCUCGUCCACCCUCU